rnacentral:lncRNA from 10 species
GCUCUUUGACCGCGCGCGUGUGGGCGCUGACCUUGCGGGACUUCUCCAGCAGCUUGCUCACCGUGUUGCUGGUGGAGGCCUGGUACUUGGAGAGCUUGGUGAGGUCAUUCUGGAUGCCCUUCACGGAGCCCUCCAAACUGAUCUGUCGCUGCUCCAUCUUGUGCUGGUUCUCCUGCACAGCGUCUAGCAUGUUCACCAGCUUGUCCAGGAGCGUGAGCACCGUGACUGCGUUCACCUGCAUUGUGGCUCUGGAGACCUGGAAGCACUGCUAACUGUUCUCUCGAUUUUCUGACGCUCGGCCACAUCAACCUGUCAUACUAGUUGUGAGGAGAAGUCAAGGACAGUGACACAGCCAGCCAGUCUGAGGCAUUUUCCAUCAUCCUGAAGGAGUUGCCCUAUCCUGCUUUUCACUGGAGGGGGCAUGGAUGGGGGCUCCUGACACACUGACCUCUGUCAGUUCCUUCAGCACACCAGGCUAAUCCCCAGUCUUGCGCCUUUGGACCA